rnacentral:SRP_RNA from 1 species
GGUCAGGCGCCAGCAAAUUCUUUCUUCAAAACCGAGUCAGGGCGGAAGCAGCAGCUCUAUGAUGUUUAGAAUUGUGCAUGGUCUCCCUGACCUUU